GAUGAAGAACGUAGCGAAAUGCGAUAAGUAAUGUGAAUUGCAGAAUUCGGUGAAUCAUCGAAUCUUUGAACGCACCUUGCGCCCUUUGGCCAUUCCGAAGGGCAUGCCUGUUUGAGUAUCAUGAACACCUCAACUCUCAUGGCUCGCCAUGAUGAGCUUGGAUUUGGGGGUCUUGCUGGCCUGUGGUCGGCUCCUCUCAAAUGGAUCAGCUUGCCAGUGUUUGGUGGCAUCACAGGUGUGAUAACUAUCUGCGCUUGUGGUUUUCCAUCAGAUAACCUUCAGUGAUGGAGGUUCGCUGGAGCUCAUAAACGUCUCCCCUAAGCGGGGACAGCCCUUUGAAUGUUUGAUCUCAAAUCAGGUAGGACUACCCGCUGAACUUAAGCAUAUCAAUAAGCGGAGGA
rnacentral:misc_RNA from 1 species